GUGACGCUGCGCUGGGACUGACCUGGGCUUGGGAGAGCAGGGGGAAGUGGGGGGAAGGGUAGCGGUGCUGCCUGUGGGAUCACCGGCUCUUCCAGGGAAACCGAGCGGGACUGCCGCGUUCCCCUCGAUUUGCACUGUCACUCGGGCUGUUUGGAAAGAAGAGGGGAGGCGCUGUGCGUGCCUCCAUGUACUUGGAUCUGGGUGCACAAGUGUGUAUGUACGCCCAUGCCGCUGUGUGAGUUGUCAGGGCUUUGAUAACGUCCAGAGCAAGUUCGGGGGUCACCUCCAGAAACUCGCAGAAACUGGAAAGGGGCGAGCGGAGGACACAUGCCUUUCCUCGGAAGGACUUGGAAGACUUUGAGUCUCCCCUCCCCCACUUUUCCGCCCCGGCUCUUCUUUUGUUGUCAAGUCCUUUUGAUAAACGGUGGGGCAGGGAGAGUAGGGAGCCAAGAGCCAGUCUUUACCCGCAUGGGGGGCGGGGGCUGGGCCUGGAGACCUGGUUUCGAGGGGCGCUCGCCCGGAACUGAGCCGCGUACGCCCGCCCGGGGGUCGGGUCUGGAACCUGCCCUCGGCGUGCUCGCUCUCUCUUUCACCACCCCAUUCCCCUCUCCCCCAUUUUUGUCUCUGUCUCCCACUCCGCACAGGUACCGAGAACUUUCUGGGAAUCGACGGGAUUUCUCUGGCUGGUGUUUGAGCUGCCUGUAUCCGAAUAAAUCCAGCUCUCAAGCGUCCGGCAGGAAACGGCUCCGGGUUUGCGCGUACGCAGACGCAUCGGCCAGCGCGGGACGCGUUGUGGCUCCUCCUGUUCGUGCCGCGGCAGGUCCGGCCUCUGAGGGAGGCUAGCCCAGCAGCGCCUUUAGGCCGAACGGCCGCUCGCGGCCCGGCAGUGCCUGGCAGCUCCCAUCUCCGGCGGUAGUCGGCAACCGCUGGGCCAAGUCCGCCCGCGGCGAAAACUGAAAGCAAAUUCCGCGGCAGAUGAAGCCCGAACUUUCUUGGACGCAAGUUUGCAGUAGAGAUUCGGUGGCGGCUUUGGGAGGACAGCGCGCUAGUGUGUGCGCGCGCAAGGUGGGGCGGUGGGCGAAGAGAGCACCCGGCGGCCGAGCCUGGCCCGAGGCGAAACACUAGGGAAGGCGCCUUCCCUUCUUUAUUUCUCGCCAACUCCUCGGCUCCUGUCCGUAAAAAUAGUUUCCAAGGUGCCUCGGACGCCCAGAAUGUGUUUAUGGGGAUCGCACCAGAGAAAGGAAGGCUUUGUAAAAGUUGUAGAAAGAGCUUUGCGCAGCGUUCGCCCAGCGGGGUUCAAGAAAGCUUGGGACUAGCUCGCCUUCCCUGGGGAGGAAUAGCCAGAAAUUGGCCUGGGGAGCCCCCUGCCUAGUCCUGUCCCCUCACCUCCAACCCACGAGUAUAUAAGCUCUCGCUGCCUGCGCUGCAAACUUCUCGGCGCGGCGCCGCGGUCAGCGGGCGAGGACAGGACGCAGAGCGGGCCGGCAAGGCCGCUCCUCGGAGCUCUCAGCCCCAGCCCUGAGUGAGGCUUGCGCGGAGGUGAGAGGACGAGUGUGGUUCCCGCUCCCACUUGGCUGCCGAAACCGUCAUCGCCGACCUCCCAACUCCCGGAGCCGGCGCUUCCCCUGGGAGCGGCGGUCUUGGGGGGCUGGCGAGGGCGCAAAUUGCGCGUGCGAAGCGAAGCGCACGAGGGCGGGGGCGGCCGCGGGUCUCUCCGCGGGGCCUGUCGCCGAGCCGGCCGCGGCGGGAAGAACAAAAACAAAAGCUAACACUUUUUUGAGCGUUUGCUUUGUGCCCGAUACUAUCAAAGAACUGUGUAUGAAUUAUGUCCUCGCGGCAACUCUCAGGGCCUGCUUCCAACUUCAGAAGCUGAAAGGGCCAUAUCCUCCUUCUCCCUGCCCCUGAGAGCUGAGGCUCCACUAAUGGGAUCUUUGACUCUCAAGAGCUGCUGAUGCAUGGAGUUGGAAGAUUUAAGGAAUCAGUUCCCGUUUGUUUCACUGGUUCUGGCCGACCCCUGAAUCAACUCCCUUGAUUGGAAAUAAACAGGAUCUUCCUUUUUGUCCCCAGGAAUGCGAUGGAGGAAGGACUCUAGGGGAAAUGGCCUCUUCUGCCAAAGAAUAAUAAUAAUAACAAAGAUGAC
rnacentral:lncRNA from 1 species